rnacentral:rRNA from 1 species
UGCGAGCGUUAAGUACGGAAUUACGUGGGACGUAAAGCGCAUGCAGGCGGCCGUGUUAAGUCAGAUGUAGAAAGGCCCGGGGGACCUUUAACCCGUACGGUAAAGUUGCUAUUUAGAAACGUGGCGAGGCUAGAGUCUUGUAGGAGGGGGGUAGGAAUUUCAGGUGUAGCGGUGAAAUGCGUAGAGAUCUGAAGGAAUACCAGUGGCGAAGGCGGCCCCCUGGACAAAGACUGACGCUCAGAUGCGAAAGCGUGGGGAGCAAACAGGAUUAGAUACCCUGGUAG